CCUACGGGAGACUGCAGUGAGGAAUAUUGGUCAAUGGACGAGAGUCUGAACCAGCCAAGUAGCGUGAAGGAUGACUGCCCUAUGGGUUGUAAACUUCUUUUAUAUGGGAAUAAAAUGUUCCACGUGUGGGAUUUUGUAUGUACCAUACGAAUAAGGAUCGGCUAACUCCGUGCCAGCAGCCGCGGUAAUACGGAGGAUUCGAGCGUUAUCCGGAUUUAUUGGGUUUAAAGGGAGCGUAGGUGGAUUGUUAAGUCAGUUGUGAAAGUUUGCGGCUCAACCGUGACACUGCAUGUGAUACUGGCAGGCUAGAGUAUAGUAGAGGUGGGCGGAAUGCGUGGUGUAGCGGUGAAAUGCUUAGAGAUCACGAAGAACACCGAUUGCGAAGGCAGUUUACUAGACUGCAACUGACACUGAGGCUCGAAAGUGUGGGUAUCAAACAGGAUUAGAUACCCGAGUAGUC
rnacentral:rRNA from 1 species